rnacentral:rRNA from 1 species
UGCCAGCAGCCGCGGUAAUACGAAGGGAACUAGCGUUGUUCGGACUUACUGGGCGUAAAGAGCAUGUAGGCGGAUUGGACAGUUGGAGGUGAAAUCCCGGAGCUCAACUCCGGAACUGCCUUCAAUACUUCCAGUCUAGAAUCUGUAAGGGGGUGGUGGAAUUCCGAGUGUAGAGGUGAAAUUCGUAGAUAUUCGGAGGAACACCAGUGGCGAAGGCGACCACCUGUACAGUAUUGACGCUGAGAUGCGAAAGCGUGGGGAGCAAACAGGAUUAGAUA